CAUAGAUAAAUAUUAUUUCCUUUUUGUGAAUUAUUUAAAAAGUGGGAGGAGAAUUCCAGUGGCCGACAAAGGACCGACAUACUAAAUUCCCUUUUAACAACAAAAGAAAUGGCGGCAUCAUCAAGAAAAAAGCAAAACACAAAAAGGC